CAUAGAAUAUAUAACAUUAAGAAGUGUUAUGUAUGAUAUUUGUAUUCACAAAAUAAGGCUGUGAGAUUCGUGUAUAUUCUUGUACAUUUACUGUUAUUAUGUAAACAGAUUUUAUCCCUUUUAGGAUGUGAUUAGUUCAACAUUUUAUAUGAAGAGAAUUUGCAGUUGUAUUAAGAUAUUAGUGCAGUCUGUUCUUUUCACCGUUGCUUUUGUUCUUUUUUUUUUUUAAAUGAACGAUACUCAUUAGUAUGAAAUUUAGAAAAGAGAAAUAAUAGUGCUAUAUUCAAUUGUAAGUUUGCCAAAAUUAUGUAGGUGAAGGUUGAACAUUAAUUAAAAUACUCAUUGUUUACAAGGAUAUAUUAGAAUUUGGAAUGAGUAAUGAUAGUGCUAUAUUCAAUCAUAGGUGCAGGAAGUUUGGUUGAACAUCACUUCUAUGUUGUACAUUUAUUGUUGUAUCAUUUGGUAAAAUCUAUAAAGAUCUCAUAUCUCCAAUUCAUCCAAAUUGUUAAUCAUAUUUAUUGCUAUUUAUCAAAACUUUUCUUUCUUACUGACUGAUAAUUUCCUUUCUCAGCACAGUAGAGUGAUAUUAUAAGUUAUCUACUGAUAUGAACGUAGAUAACGAAUUUAUCCCCGGUCUUAGUCUAAAUCUGGUGAUUUUUAGAGAAAUUAGACCACAAAGUUUAUCGUUAAAGUAACGUUUUUUUUCAUUUUGUAAAUAUCUUUUAUUGAAAUUUGGGAUUUUGACCUAUUUUCAACGGGGUGUAGGGUACUACCUUUGGUAGAACCCUACAGGUAGACAAAGAUAAAAUCGUUAGUGGAUUAAGUAUCUAAUUAUACAGACAUCAUGGAUAAUCUACAGAAUUCGAUAUUUUAUAAAGAAACAACCAUGGAACUAAGGAAAACACGCGCGAAUUUCCGGGAUGUAAUGGGUAGCAAUGUCUGGGGAUAUGUAAUGAUGUGUGUUAACCAAUCAAAAUCCUAGAAAUAUACUAAGUUUGGGAUAAGAAAAACUUAUCGCUGAAAAAUAAGGGUCCAUGUGCCAUUGUCACUGAAAUUAACAACGUUGUCAUAGAUAAAAUAGCGAUAAACAGUUUAUCAUUGGUCGUCUCAACUCAAUUGCUCACUCACUUUUAAUCAUGAAUAUGAGAUAUUUAUUUAUUUCCAUAGCAUAACAGGCUAAGGUAACAAGUAGUGAUGGUAAUUUUCUGUUUCUAUUUUAACAUUUUUACCCUUCAUUGGGAAGAGCUUUGUUUUUAUAGAGAAUAAGAAAUGUUGGAUCUACCUUUUUUCACAUUUAGAUUCUCUUGGUCUUUUGUUUAGCUUAAAAUCAACUCUCUAUGUAUUAUUUGAAGCGGUCAAAUAAAGCGUAUACACUUUAAAUAAAUAAAUCCAACAUAAAUUGUCACAAACAAUCUUAUUUCCUUUUAUAUUUAAUUUGGAUUGUAUAUAUACUUGGUUUUUACAAUCGUUGACACAAAUGAUCUCUAAGUAGCACUAACAUAAACCAUUGGGGGGAGAGCCUUGAAGAUGUAUGCCCCUCAUUGCUUUGAAAUAUAUAUAUUUUUUAGAAUAAAAUUGUUCAAAUUUUUACAUCUCGCUCCCUGGGUGGAAUUUAAUAUUCCAAUUUCUAUAAUUAUGCCCCCUUAAAAAUUCCUGGAUCAGUCCCAGAAAUAAUUGCAUCAUUUGUUGCUUUAUUAGAUAUCUUCUGCUGAAUAUAUGUAAUGCUUUUGAAUGAAUGGCUGCAGCAGAUGACACAUUUUGUCUCAAAAACUUUGCUUUACCUUUCUAGACUACUUUUCUCUCAGUAAAAUGUAUCAGUGAUUCUACUGUUUUCAGUUACAGCUUGGUUCAUAAUGAGAGGCAAGCAGUAACCAUACACAUUAACAAUUGCUCAUAAGCUAUUCAGUAAAGUUGGGUUAUCAUGUUCCUGCAAUUUGUUUGAGGCACAUUCCAGCCUUCUUAUGUGUUUAUUUUUUCUUGCUGAAUAUAAAAUUAUCACUAUUAUUUAAUCAUGACAAUUUUUAUGCCCCACCUACGAUAGUAGAGGGGCAUUAUGUUUUCUGGUCUGUGCGUCCGUCCGUCCGUCUGUUCGUUCAUCCGUCCGUCCAUCCGUUCGUUCGACUGUCUGUCCCGCUUCAGGUUAAAGUUUUUGGUCAAGGUAGUUUUUGAUGAAGUUGAAGUUCAAUCAACUUGAAACUUAGUACACAUGUGCCCUAUGAUAUGAUCUUUUUAAUUUAAAUGCCAAAUUAGAGUUUUGACCCCAAUUUUACGGUUCACUGAACAUAGAAAAUGAUAGUGCAAAUUUCAGGUUAAAGUUUUUGGUCAAAGUAGUUUUUGAUAAAGUAGAAGUCCAAUCAACUUGAAACUUAGAAUACAUGUUCCCUUUGAUAAGAUCACUCUAAUUUUAAUGCCAAAUUAGAGAAUUUAUUCCAAUUUCACGGUCCACUAAACAUAGAAAAUGAUAGUGCGAGUGGGGCAUCCGUGUACUGUGGACACAUUCUUGUUAUCUUAAUAUAUUUGUUAUCUUAAUAUAUUUAUAGAUGUAAAUUCAUUGAGUGAUAGAUGCAUGUCCAUAGGGCUUUGUAUGUUGUGUUCUAGUCUGGUAUUGUGUUCAUUACACUUGUUAUAGGAAUGCAAGAUUACUUGUUACAUUUUUGUGAUAGUCUUUAAUGCAUAUGCACUGUAUAUAUAUAUAUAUAGAUAUAUUUUUACAAAAUGUUUAUUUUUAUUAUAGAUGUUAAGAUUUUAAAGUAAGUCCCUUUUACAUUGUUUAUUAUCAAUGAAAAUAUAAAAAAAUAUUUUAUCUGUGUAAUACACCUACCCAUUUACAAGAAUCUCACAAAAUAACAUUAAUUAUUUCCUCUCCUUUUGUAUUGUUUGAAACAAAAUUGAACUCAUUCUCCCUUUAGCCAAUUUAGAUAUUUGGCUAAAGGGAGAAUCUGAAUUAUUAGGUUUUUCCAUUCGAAAAGAUAAUUUCCUAGAGCUUAUUUUGGCAAUAAAAAAUGUCAUGCAAGAGGAUUUCAUAAACAACAAAUUUUGAUACAUAAACAUGUUUUAGUGGUUAAAUUAUAAUGUUCUAAAGUCACAGCCAAACCAUUAACUGUGUUGAAAUUUCAAUCAGCUAUUUCCUAAUAAUUUCUUUAAUUUCAUUUAUAUCUAUUUAAAGUUUUUUUUAUAUUUUCAGAUUUUAAAAUGGCAAUUUGUAUAAACAUAUGGCUUAUUUAUUGAAAUUUAUAACAAACAAUAAAUUGAUGAUUUAAACUU
rnacentral:lncRNA from 1 species